rnacentral:lncRNA from 1 species
AUGCAGGCCUUGCAGCGGGCCGGACGACCUGAGACCCCGCUGACUCUGGAGGGGAGGCAGGUCACGGACCCUCGGAGCUGCGGUUUCCCUAUCUGUUACAGGAGCAUGGCAAUCACUGCGGUUGGAGAGAAGGUAGCAAAGCAUGGGACACAGAUGUUUAUGUCUUCUUGCAUGAAGAUUUAUGAGGCACCCGCCUGUGGAUUGCAUCUUCUCCAUUGGUAAGUCCACUUCUUGGUGUCAUUUACUGCUUUACGCUUUGCAUUCAGCUAGGACGAAUGGUGACAGUUGACUCCUGAUUUCCCUUUGUUUCCAUUUGAUGUAUAUCAUUACCCAUUGCUUGUCUUUCAAACUUUCUGAAUCUUUUAUUUGUGCCUCUUGUUUAGAGCAUGUGGACGGAUUUUAUGUUUCCUGCAACCUGAGGAAUAUUUUCUUGUAAAAGACGAGUUUAUCUUAUUAACAUUUAUUGAUAUGACAGUUAUAUUUGAUGUGUUCGUUUUGUUGAACACAUAGUUUUAGUUUGUUUUCUGCAGUUUGGUACAUAUUUUGUGUUUCCUUGCCUUGUUUUGUGCACGUGUCCUUUCUGAGAGCCUGGAAAUGUCAUGCUCCAUUUUCAGUUUUUGUUGUUAAUAUUGUUAUUUUGUUUUCGUUUUAUUGCUGUUACUCUUUUUUUCUGAUAACUUUUAAUAAUCUACUUAACCCUAUAUUCCUCGACUUAGGAAACUCUAGUGGUAUCUAUUGAUGUCCCACUAUGAAAGAUGAAAUAAUCAGUGUAGAUAUAAAUCUUUUUACUGCCAUUUGCUUCUUUGACCUCUGACUUUUGACUUGCUUCUUUUCUACUUUUUGAGGGAAACUCCCCCCACCUUCCAACCUCUACCUCUUGGUAAGUGCCCCAGGUACCAUGACCUGACCGCAAAGCCAUAUCUGAUUAUGUUUAUAGUUUGAAUAAUGUACUAAAACUUCUGUUUCUUAGUUGUCAGUACUAAACAGUUCCCAUGGAGUCCCUAAUAUGAGAAAUGAGCUAAUCAACAACUGACCGUCUUCUUACUUUCUUCCAAAAGCUGUAUCAGCAUGUGUAUUUUCAGUGUCCUUUUGUAAUUUCAUCCAAAUUUCUCCAAAUUGUUAUACCUAGUUUUUAUAUACUGUGGGUUGUGGUUAUAGCUGUUUCAAGGGGGCUAUUUGUGUGUGUAUAUAUUAUAGAUGUGUAUUCUAUCAUAUAAAGUCA